GUGAGGGCCCUCUGGGUCCAACCUCCCACCCGUGUCUAUCGUACCUUGUUGCUUCGGCGGGCCCGCCGUUUCGACGGCCGCCGGGGAGGCCUUGCGCCCCCGGGCCCGCGCCCGCCGAAGACCCCAACAUGAACGCUGUUCUGAAAGUAUGCAGUCUGAGUUGAUUAUCGUAAUCAGUUAAAACUUUCAACAACGGAUCUCUUGGUUCCGGCAUCGAUGAAGAACGCAGCGAAAUGCGAUAAGUAAUGUGAAUUGCAGAAUUCAGUGAAUCAUCGAGUCUUUGAACGCACAUUGCGCCCCCUGGUAUUCCGGGGGGCAUGCCUGUCCGAGCGUCAUUGCUGCCCUCAAGCACGGCUUGUGUGUUGGGCCCCCGUCCCCCUCUCCCGGGGGACGGGCCCGAAAGGCAGCGGCGGCACCGCGUCCGGUCCUCGAGCGUAUGGGGCUUUGUCACCUGCUCUGUAGGCCCGGCCGGCGCCAGCCGACACCCAACUUUAUUUUUCUAAGGUUGACCUCGGAUCAGGUAGGGAUACCCGCUGAACAU
rnacentral:rRNA from 1 species